AAUCCUUUCUGUACUUAUCAGCUGCUGUAUACUACAGAGGAAGUCCUUUGCUUUUUAAAAUGCUUUUUCUGUCUGACCACAAUGCUCUGCUGACACCUGUCAGUCAAGAACUGUCCGGAGUAGGAGCAAAAAUCCCCAUAGCAAACGUAUCCUGCUCUGGACAGUUCGUGACAAGGACAGAGGAGUCAGCAGAGAUCCCUGUGGUUAGAAAUAAAAAUAAAAAAUAACUUCCUCUGUAGUAUACAACAGCUAAGUACUGGAAGGAUUAAGAAUUUUAGAAGUAAUUUACAAAUCUGUCUAACUUUCUGCCACUAGUUGAUUUUGAAAAAUUUUCCCUACCGGAGUACCCCUUUAAGGGGGCGUUCUUGCAUAGAUACUGAUGUAAUUUGUUUUCUUCUCAGUGGCACAACCACAAGGUGAGAUGUGGAUCACGUAAGGACGUCCUCGGUGUGGCUUUCUUUGCCAACAACCAUCAGAUCGUGUCAAGUUCCUGAGACAAGACCAUCCAGCUGUGGCGUGUGCAGGAAGAGUCUCUGGUUUCUUGCGUCUGAUUCUCACCCAACAGCAGCAAUCCGAUAAUUUUCUGCGGCCGGGACAAGAUGUUGCACAACCACAAGCAGAUUUUUGGGUCACACACAGGAUGUGGCUUUCUCCAGUCGACCGUCAGAUUCCCGAGACAGGACCAUCAAGCAGUGGAACAUUUUGGGAGUGUGCACUGCAGGAAGAAUCUUGCCUAUACCUUGAAAAAGCAUCACAUGAUUUGAAACGUACGUUGGUGUGUGAUCCGUCCUCCUCACUUAUAGACCAGCUUGGAGAAAUAGAUUUGUGAAUGGAUACACACAAGUGCCUUGGACUCUCUCUUCAGACCUGGAAGGCAAGAUCAUUGUAGAAGAACUGAAGCAGCAAAGCUGAGCCCCCACAGUGCACCUCUCUGGCCUGGUCAGCAGAAGGACAGACUCUUCGCCGGAUAUACAGACAACUUGAUCAGAGUUUGGCAAGUGACUAUUGGGACCCGUUAAGAUGUUUUCUGGAUACAGGAAAAUGGAGACAUGACAAUUGUAAUGUUACCACCUGAUGCUGCUUGUGCAGUAUGGCGUCAAAUAAAAGUUGCUAUAA